CGUGCAGGCGGGUCAGCAAGUCUCGUGUGUAAUCUUUCGGCUUAACCGGAAAACUGCACGGGAUACUACUGAUCUUGAGUGCGAGAGAGGAUGGCGGAAUUCCUGGUGUAGCGGUGAAAUGCGUAGAUAUCAGGAGGAACACCGGUGGCGAAGGCGGCCAUCUGGCUCGACACUGACGCUGAGACGCGAAGGCCGGGGGAGCAAACA
rnacentral:rRNA from 1 species